CUUUGCUGAGGUACUAGUCCCUCUGUCCCAAUUUAUAUCCGGGUAAUUAAAAUCUCCAAUAAUUAAAGUGUUACCCAGAUUUGCAGCCUUCUCAAUUUGCUCAAACAGCUGUUGUUUCUCGUCAAUAUUAACAUUAGGUGGUUUAUAACAUAUCCCAACCAAUAGUUGGUUUCCCUUCUUUUCCCCCUAGCAGAUAUUUAUCCAUAAAACUUCCACAUUAUCCUCCUC
rnacentral:lncRNA from 1 species